rnacentral:rRNA from 1 species
UACAGGGGUCCCAAGCGUUGUUCGGAUUCACUGGGCGUAAAGGGUGCGUAGGUGGUGAGGUAAGUCGGAUGUGAAAGCUCGGAGCUCAACUCCGAAAUGGCAUUGGAAACUACCUUGCUCGAGGGUUGGAGGGGGGACUGGAAUGCUUGGUGUAGCAGUGAAAUGCGUAGAUAUCAAGCGGAACACCAGUGGCGAAGGCGAGUCCCUGGACAACUCCUGACACUGAGGCACGAAAGCUAGGGGAGCAAACAGG